UACGAAGGGGGCUAGCGUUGUUCGGAAUUACUGGGCGUAAAGCGCGUGUAGGCGGGCCUUUAAGUCCGGGGUGAAAUGCCAGGGCUCAACCUUGGAACUGCCUUUGAUACUGGAGACCUUGAGUCCGGGAGAGGUGAGUGGAAUUGCGAGUGUAGAGGUGAAAUUCGUAGAUAUUCGCAAGAACACCAGUGGCGAAGGCGGCUCACUGGCCCGGAACUGACGCUGAGACGCGAAAGCGUGGGGAGCAAACAGG
rnacentral:rRNA from 1 species